AUUGAACGCUGGCGGCAUGCCUUACACAUGCAAGUCGAACGGUAACAGGUCUUCGGAUGCUGACGAGUGGCGAACGGGAGAGUAAUACAUCGGAACGUUCCCGAGAGUGGGGGAUAACGAGGCGAAAGCUUUGUUAAUACCGCAUACGAUCUCAGGAUCAAAGCUGGGGACCGGAAGGCCUUGCUCUAAAGGAGCGGCCGAUGGAAGAUUAGGUAGUUGGUGGGAUAAAAGCUUACCAAGCCGACGAUCUGUAGCUGGUCUGAGAGGACGACCAGCCACACUGGGACUGAGACACGGCCCAGACUCCUACGGGAGGCAGCAGUGGGGAAUUUUGGACAAUGGGCGCAAGCCUGAUCCAGCCAUGCCGCGUGCAGGAUGAAGGCCUUCGGGUUGUAAACUGCUUUUGUACGGAACGAAAAGGCUCUGGUUAAUACCUGGGGUCCAUGACGGUACCGUAAGAAUAAGCACCGGCUAACUACGUGCCAGCCGCCGCCGUAA
rnacentral:rRNA from 1 species